rnacentral:rRNA from 1 species
GAUGAACGCUAGCGGCAGGCCUAAUACAUGCAAGACGAACGGUAAGUUGAGUAGCAAUACUUAGCCAAGAGUGUCGUACGGGUGCGUAACACGUAUGCAACCUACCCUAUACAGGAGGAUAGCCUAGGGAAACCUGGAUUAACCCUUCAUAGUAUUAUUGGAUGGCAUCAUUUGAUAAUUAAAACUGAGGUGGUAUAGGAUGGGCAUGCGUCUGAUUAGUUAGUUGGCGGGGUAAUGGCCCACCAAGACGAUGAUCAGUAGGGGUUCUGAGAGGAAGAUCCCCCACACUGGCACUGAGAUACGGGCCAGACUCCUACGGGAGGCAGCAGUAGGGAAUAUUGGUCAAUGGAUGCAAGUCUGAACCAGCCAUGCCGCGUGCAGGAAGAAGGCCUUCUGGGUUGUAAACUGCUUUUGCCAGGGGAUAAAAUUUCCAUGCGUGGAAAACUGAAGGUACCUGGUGAAUAAGCCACGG